UAUUAUCAGCAUUUUCUGAAUCCGCCGCAAGGCAAAACAAAUGAAUCAAAACUUUCAACAACGGAACCUCUUGGGUUUCGGGCAUCGAUGAAGAACGCAGCGAAAUGCGAUAAGUAAUGUGAAUUGCAGAAUUCAGUGAAUCAUCGAAUCUUUGAACGCACAUUGCGCCCGCCAGCAUUCUGGCGGGCAUGCCUGUUCGAGCGUCAUUUCAACCCUCGACUUCCCUUUGGGGAAAUCCGCGUUGGGGAAACGGCAGCAUACCCGCCNGGCCCCGAAAUGGGAGUGGCGGCCCGGUCCCGCNGCGACCCUUCUGCGUAAGUAAUCCAACUCGGCACCGGAACCCCNACGUGGCCACCCCNGUAAAACACCCAACUUCCGAACGUUGACCUCNGAUCAGGUAGAAUACCCGCUGAANNCUUAGCAUA
rnacentral:rRNA from 1 species